rnacentral:rRNA from 1 species
GACGAACGCUGGCGGCGUGCUUAACACAUGCAAGUCGAACGGAAAGGCCCUGCUUUUGUGGGGUGCUCGAGUGGCGAACGGGUGAGUAACACGUGAGUAACCUGCCCUUGACUUUGGGAUAACUUCAGGAAACUGGGGCUAAUACCGGAUAGGAGCUCCUGCUGCAUGGUGGGGGUUGGAAAGUUUGGGCGGGUGGGGAUGGACUCGCGGCUUAUCAGCUUGUUGGUGGGGUAGUGGCUUACCAAGGCUUUGACGGGUAGCCGGCGUGAGGGGGUGACCGGCCACAUUGGGACUGAGAUACGGCCCAGACUCCUACGGGAGGCAGCAGUGGGGAAUAUGGCACAAUGGGCGGAGGCCGGAUGCAGCAACGCCGCGUGCGGGAUGACGGCCUUCGGGUUGUAAACCGCUUUCGCCGGUGACGAAGCGUGAGUGACGGUAAUGGGUAAAGAAGCACCGGCUAACUACGUG